rnacentral:tRNA from 1 species
GGGCCCGUAGCUCAGUGGUUAGAGCGGCCGGCUCAUAACCGGUUGGUCGCAGGUUCAAAUCCUGCCGGGCCCA